rnacentral:rRNA from 1 species
UACGUAGGGCGCAAGCGUUUGUCCGGAAUUAUUGGGCGUAAAGAGCUCGUAGGCGGUUUGUCGCGUCUGCUGUGAAAACUCGAGGCUCAACCUCGGGCUUGCAGUGGGUACGGGCAGACUAGAGUGCGGUAGGGGAGACUGGAAUUCCUGGUGUAGCGGUGAAAUGCGUAGAGAUCCGGAAGAACACCGGUGGCGAAGGCGGUCUGCUGGGCCAGUACUGACGCUGAGGCGCGACAGCGGUGGGGAGCAAACAGG